GUCUGCAACUCGACUACAUGAAGCUGGAAUCGCUAGUAAUCGCGAAUCAGAAUGUCGCGGUGAAUACGUUCCCGGGUCCUUGUACACACCGCCCGUCACACCAUGGGAGUCGGGAAUGCCCGAAGUCAGUGACCCAACCGGAAGGAGGGAGCUGCCGAAGGCAGGCUCGAUAACUGGGGUGAAGUCGUAACAAGGUAUC
rnacentral:rRNA from 1 species